CUACGUGCCAGCAGCCGCGGUAAUACGUAGGGCGCAAGCGUUGUCCGGAAUUAUUGGGCGUAAAGAGCUCGUAGGCGGCUGGUCGCGUCUGUCGUGAAAACUUCCGGCUCAACCGGGGGCUUGCGGUGGGUACGGGCCGGCUAGAGUGCGGUAGGGGUAACUGGAACUCCUGGUGUAGCGGUGGAAUGCGCAGAUAUCAGGAAGAACACCGAUGGCGAAGGCAGGUUACUGGGCCGUUACUGACGCUGAGGAGCGAAAGCGUGGGGAGCGAACAGGAUUAGAUACCCUGGUAGUCCACGCUGUAAACGUUGGGCACUAGGUGUGAGGCUCCUUUCCGGGGGUUUUGCGCCGUAGCUAACGCAUUAAGUGCCCCGCCUGGGGAGUACGGCCGCAAGGCUAAAACUCAAAGGAAUUGACGGGGGCCCGCACAAGCGGCGGAGCAUGCGGAUUAAUUCGAUGCAACGCGAAGAACCUUACCAAGGCUUGACAU
rnacentral:rRNA from 1 species